rnacentral:rRNA from 1 species
ACGGGGGCCCGCACAAGCGUGGAGCAUGUGGUUUAAUUCGAAGCAACGCGAAGAACCUUGCCAGGUCUUGACAUCCCGAUGCUAUUUCUAGAGAUAGAAAGUACUUCGGUACAUCGGUGACAGGUGGUGCAUGGUUGUCGUCAGCUCGUGUCGUGAGAUGUUGGGUUAAGUCCCGCAACGAGCGCAACCCCUAUUGUUAGUUGCCAUCAUUCAGUUGGGCACUCUAGCGAGACUGCCGGUAAUAAACCGGAGGAAGGUGGGGAUGACGUCAAAUCAUCAUGCCCCUUAUGACCUGGGCUACACACGUGCUACAAUGGUUGGUACAACGAGUUGCGAGUCGGUGACGGCGAGCUAAUCUCUUAAAGCCAAUCUCAGUUCGGAUUGUAGGCUGCAACUCGCCUACAUGAAGUCGGAAUCGCUAGUAAUCGCGGAUCAGCACGCCGCGGUGAAUACGUUCCCGGGCCUU